rnacentral:rRNA from 9 species
UUAAAUUGAAGAGUUUGAUCAUGGCUCAGAUUGAACGCUGGCGGCAGGCCUAACACAUGCAAGUCGAACGGUAACAGGAAGCAGCUUGCUGCUUUGCUGACGAGUGGCGGACGGGUGAGUAAUGUCUGGGAAACUGCCUGAUGGAGGGGGAUAACUACUGGAAACGGUGGCUAAUACCGCAUAACGUCGCAAGACCAAAGAGGGGGACCUUCGGGCCUCUUGCCAUCAGAUGUGCCCAGAUGGGAUUAGCUUGUUGGUGAGGUAACGGCUCACCAAGGCGACGAUCCCUAGCUGGUCUGAGAGGAUGACCAGCCACACUGGAACUGAGACACGGUCCAGACUCCUACGGGAGGCAGCAGUGGGGAAUAUUGCACAAUGGGCGCAAGCCUGAUGCAGCCAUGCCGCGUGUAUGAAGAAGGCCUUCGGGUUGUAAAGUACUUUCAGCGGGGAGGAAGGUGUUGUGGUUAAUAACCGCAGCAAUUGACGUUACCCGCAGAAGAAGCACCGGCUAACUCCGUGCCAGCAGCCGCGGUAAUACGGAGGGUGCAAGCGUUAAUCGGAAUUACUGGGCGUAAAGCGCACGCAGGCGGUCUGUCAAGUCGGAUGUGAAAUCCCCGGGCUCAACCUGGGAACUGCAUUCGAAACUGGCAGGCUUGAGUCUUGUAGAGGGGGGUAGAAUUCCAGGUGUAGCGGUGAAAUGCGUAGAGAUCUGGAGGAAUACCGGUGGCGAAGGCGGCCCCCUGGACAAAGACUGACGCUCAGGUGCGAAAGCGUGGGGAGCAAACAGGAUUAGAUACCCUGGUAGUCCACGCCGUAAACGAUGUCUACUUGGAGGUUGUGCCCUUGAGGCGUGGCUUCCGGAGCUAACGCGUUAAGUAGACCGCCUGGGGAGUACGGCCGCAAGGUUAAAACUCAAAUGAAUUGACGGGGGCCCGCACAAGCGGUGGAGCAUGUGGUUUAAUUCGAUGCAACGCGAAGAACCUUACCUGGUCUUGACAUCCACGGAAGUUUUCAGAGAUGAGAAUGUGCCUUCGGGAACCGUGAGACAGGUGCUGCAUGGCUGUCGUCAGCUCGUGUUGUGAAAUGUUGGGUUAAGUCCCGCAACGAGCGCAACCCUUAUCCUUUGUUGCCAGCGGUCCGGCCGGGAACUCAAAGGAGACUGCCAGUGAUAAACUGGAGGAAGGUGGGGAUGACGUCAAGUCAUCAUGGCCCUUACGACCAGGGCUACACACGUGCUACAAUGGCGCAUACAAAGAGAAGCGACCUCGCGAGAGCAAGCGGACCUCAUAAAGUGCGUCGUAGUCCGGAUUGGAGUCUGCAACUCGACUCCAUGAAGUCGGAAUCGCUAGUAAUCGUGGAUCAGAAUGCCACGGUGAAUACGUUCCCGGGCCUUGUACACACCGCCCGUCACACCAUGGGAGUGGGUUGCAAAAGAAGUAGGUAGCUUAACCUUCGGGAGGGCGCUUACCACUUUGUGAUUCAUGACUGGGGUGAAGUCGUAACAAGGUAACCGUAGGGGAACCUGCGGUUGGAUCACCUCCUUACCUUAAAGAAGC